CAAAGUGCCAGAGAUUUGAUCAUCAUUGGGAAAAUAUAUGGUUGCUGACACAUUCCUACAGGAAAAUGGAUCACAUAAUACUUUGGGAUAACCAGUUACUCAUGUGAAUGAAAAGGACUCUUUUCAGGCUAAUGAAAUGUGAUAUGAACUCUCAUUAAAUAUUUACAACCAUAUAUCAGAUAAUGUUAACUGAAUAUUUGACACAAGUGACAAAGAGUAAUUCAAAUAACCUGAACAAUAAUGAGCUGAACAACAGAGUGAAGGAAAUUGUUUUUUGGUAUUACAGCUGACGAGUCUGUACAUGAA